ACACGUAGGGGGCGAGCGUUGUUCGGACUCAUUGGGCGUAAAGGGCGUGCAGGCGGUCGUGCAAGUCCGGCGUGGAAGACCCCGGCCCCACCGGGGGGCCGCGCCGGAAACUGCAGGGCUUGAGUACAGGCGGGGAGGCCGGAAUUCCCGGUGGAGGGGGGUAAUCUGUAGAUAUCUGGAAGAACACCAAUGGCGAAGGCAGGCAUCUGGCCAUGUACUGACGCUGAGACGCGAAGGUGCGGGGAGCAAACAGGUUUAGAUACCCUGGUAGUCCGCACAGUAAACGAUGUGCACCAGGUGGCGGGGGGUCGACCCCCGGUACCGUAGCUAACGCAUUAAGUGCACCGCCUGGGGAGUAUGCUCGCAAGGGUGAAACUCAAAGGAAUUGACGGGG
rnacentral:rRNA from 1 species